UUCCCAUUCCGAACAGAGAAGUUAAGCCCGUUAGCGCCGAUGGUACUGCUUUCAUUGUGGGAGAGUAGGUCGCCGCCUUCC
rnacentral:rRNA from 1 species